rnacentral:lncRNA from 1 species
GCCCCCCCGCAAAGUGGCAAAGCAGCACAGGAUGGCAGCAAACAAACGCAGAAUGGCAACCAACAAGCCUCUGUAACGCUGUAUUUUUGCACUACAUUUUCUGUAUUUUUGUUUUAUUUCUACAGUUGUGUGAGUACACCAUGUUUGGUAUAUUUGUCUGUGUUUAGUGAUGCUAUUAAAUAUAUCAGCAUUAAAUUGAGGACUUCCAAUUGUAUUCCUCUCAUACAUUGGGGAAAGAUAAUGAGGAGUGGUCACUUAAAGUAAGCUCCAGGCAAGAGGCAAGGGGAUUGAAAUUGAUGCCUCAUAAAAAGGGUUUCCCAUCUAAUCACAAGGGGCCCCUCCUGUGUGUAUGCUUCAAGACCUGUGUUGAAACAGGAUUUUAGCAAUCCUGUUGUGCAACAUAUACACACAGGGAUCAGUUGAAAUAUUUUCUUCCUGUCUGAAAUGUGUCUCUAAAGAUUCCUUGUCCUUUUUCUUUAGUUAGGUCUGUGACAGCAAAGUUGUACUGACUGAUGAUGGCUGAGCCAGAGGGAAGAGUGGAUAUGUCCAUUAAUUACUUGAAGACACGCAAAGGAAUGACUAUGGCAGGAGAAAUAGUAAGUCCAACAAUCCUUCAAACUCUGUAUAAGUAAAAAAAAAAAAAAACAAGGAGGGAACAUUACUACUUUAUGGAAAACUUUACCAUUGUAACUUUGCUAAUUAACUUAAUCACUGACAGUCAGAUUGCUCACAGUGAGUUUCAUUUCUAAAGAAGCCAUACAACUUUGAACCUUGACAUUGCAUUGAACUGUCAUGGCAUGCUAAUACAAGAUUUUAUUUUUCUUUAAAUAUUCAGGUCCUUUGCUUAUUUUCCAUCGUUGGCAAAACUGUACCUGUCAAUGUGGGUUGUUACAUCAUUGUACCCCUUGCUGAGAUAGUUUUGGGCAUUUUUAUGCUGAUCAUCUUUACAAGGGGAUUGGAGAAGACAUCCUUUGAGGUUCACUGGCUUUUUUGUGACCUCCUCAGAGCUGUGACUGGGUCAGUAAUACUGUUGAUGACCUCAGCCAACUGUUUCAUCCACCUGAUUGCCAAAUCAGCGGCACUCAUAACAGGAGAGGUUUUUGGAUUGUGUGCAGGAUGCUUGUUUGGUUAUGAUGUGUUCUUAGUUUAUUCCAUGAUAAAGAGUAAAAAUAUGUCCACAACUGAUGAAGUGCCGCCUGGACAAGAGGAACAGUCCUAAACUAAG